rnacentral:lncRNA from 1 species
CGCGCGCUCUGCUGCUGUGCUGGGACAGAGCACCCGGACCCGCGGCAGCGGCGGCAGCGGCGCUCCCCACCCUCCACCGCAGCACUCAUCGAGCCAGGAAACCACCAAGCCACGGGCCCUCGGGAAGAGGAGAGGGAGCAAACAGACACCAGCAAAGCAUUCCUGUAACACGAUGUGCUACACAAGUUCCCAGUAGCGACAGACGCCUAAAGGAGCCUGUUUGUGUGCUGUGUGGCCACGUUCUGCUGUGACUGGAUCUUGUCUUCUGCCUGGCUCCUCGAUUUCCGUCCGGCUGGAUUUGGGGACAACACUGCCUGGCGCAGACAGAUCAAGUGAGUAUCUUGGCGGCAUGAAGGCUGCAUGCUUCCCCGGUUACGCCAGGCCCGCAGCUCCCGUGGUUUGUCCGGCACCCACACAAGGGCCUGGCGAGGGCCGCUCCGAGGGCCAGUCCGGGGCUUUGCUUCAGCUAAUUGAUUGUAUGUCUCCAAUACCAAACCUGUUGAACUCGUGAGUUGUCCGAGCCAGGACUGUUAAUUAUCCUUUGGGCAGACCCCUAAUUUUAGAAAGGUGCCAGGAAAAUUCGCACAGGGAAAAGAAAAAGGACGUAAAUUAAUAGUAUUGGUGGAGAGACUUUCUUCUCUUAGAUGCCGUGCUAAGUGAAAUUGGGUUUUGCGUUUUUGAAUUCUGUAUUCUCAUUUUGAAUGUGCUGUUUUUGAAUAGCCCCCAAAGUUUCAGUUACCUGGCACUGAAGUCACGGUGGAAAACUUACGUAAAAUAGCUCGUUGCAUCUGGUAGAUUCUCCUCCCCCCACACCCUUUUUUCUUCCACUUUUUGGGUUUUGGAGGUGAGAGACUGCUUUAUAGGGUUACUCCAAGUUUAGCUUUAACCGAGAUGCGACCUUCGUGGUUAGUUAUUGGGACUUGGAGCUAUUCCAUUUCAGAUGCCUCUGGAAUCGGAGCGAAGCGAGUUCUCUUGCUUAAGAGCCAACCAACUGAAGGCAAGAUCUCUUUCGGUGGUUAGGAACUAUCUGCAGAAAAUCCUGAGCAAAGAGUACCUAGCCCCCCCCCCCCCGCCCCCAUUAGGAUCUGCCGCUUUUUUCUCUUGCAAAUGUGCAGGCGGUGUUUGAAUAGAAUACUGUCUGGAGGGGUCAGGGCAAUUCAGUGGAAUUGAUCAGAAGUUAGACCCCAGGCCCUGUCAUGUCACGGCCACGGCCGUGGGGUGGGGGUGGGGGUUAAAGCUGUGGCUGUCUUGGGUCCACAACUAUGGAGUCAGAUCGUUUUCUCUCUCUCCUGGCGCCCACACCUGCCCACCACCCUUCAUCUCCACCUUGGCACCAGUAACGAGGGCGCUGUUAGGAACACGCCACAGUAGUCAGCAUAAUUGAACCGGUGAAUACUUUCAUUUUGCAAAACAACAGCUCCACUCCUCCAGUCCAAAAUAAUAGUAAGCAUCAGAAAAUCAUUUUUAAAACACGCAACCUAUUUUCGGGAGUAUGUAAGAUGUCCUAAUAUUGUAUCGUGGGGUGUGGGGGAAGGGCUUAAAAAUCCACCACUUUACAGCAAUCAGGUUUUACAUUAUUCAUUGAUUUACUGAAGGAAAGAGCCAAUCAGGAGCCAUAGAUAUGAAUGCACAUUUCACUGUGCUGGAGCCUUACAGUAAACUAUUUGCAUCUUUCUCAUGGAUUAGACAUUUAUCCUGGGAUUCCCAUUGUUUGAAAGGCCAAGAAAUUCAGUCUCUUAAACAUUUAGAAAACAAGACUUUGUUCCAGACUUAAAAUCCUUGCAUGGUGGGGCUCUCUCUUCUCUUUUGUAUGGGAGGUUACAAGGUUCAAAUCCCUAAUGUUUCUUAAGUCUCUCUUCUUUCCAAGCUAAAAAUAAAAGGAGAAAGAAAAAUUAAUUUCCCAAACCCCUCUAGAUCCUGCAUAUUUUGCAUUCCCAUUAUCAUGCAUGUCUCCAUUUAAAUGCAAAUUAGCAUAUUUAACCCUGUAGGUGCUAAGGCCCAAGAUAGACAGUACUGGUGUUUUAUAUAAUCUAUUGGCAUUAAAAAAAAAAAAACACAGUAAUAGUGACCCUUUAAAUUAAGUCAUAUUCCUAUAUAAUGAUAUAUAUAUAUACAUAUAUAUAUAUACUGUGAUCAUUUGUUUUAUUGUCUGUUUUUCAGAUGACACUUCAAAGAAGCAUAAAAUGAACAGACUAUUCAAACAAAGGUAAUUUACAUUUUUUUAUUUGAUAAAACCUGACUGAUGUACAAAACGAAAAUAGAAUAUUGUUUACUGGAAAACAGGUCUACAAUCUCUCACACAUCUUCUCUUGCAACAGAUAGAAUUCCAGAAACAUCUAAGUUCCUCUGUGUACAGUUAUUUCUCCUGUAGGAGCCUUUGUAUGGAUGUAAUACACACAUAUAUGUAUAUGCAUAGAGCAUGACAUAAAUAAAACCUGCAAUAGCCUAUAAGAAAGAAGCUCCUAUUUAGAGGAAAGGGUAAGAUACUUUUAUUAUAAUGAAAGCCAGUUCACUUCAUCACUUGGACCAUGGACACUAAUGUAAAUAAAAUGGCUUAAAAAAUAAGACAAUAGUAGUAUUGACUGUAGACUACAAUUUGCACAUUUGUAAUUCUUAUAAAUGAAAUAUUUAAAAUGAUUUGGUGUUGGGCCAGUUCCUUAUGCAUUCUGCAUUCAUGUGUAUAGGAUUCAAAGACGUUCCAAAUAUUGAUCAUAAACCAAGUGUAUAUGAAUUAAUUAAAUAGCAUAUUUCUGGCCCAAAUAUGAGGAAAACCAUAACUUUUUACUGUAAAUCAGGAGAGAUUGUUUUAUCCCCAAAUAAACUAGGAUGUUUCAAGUCAUGUUUCAGCAAUUUGGAGACCUACAAACUAUCUGCAAGCAAGCACAACAACCAUACUCUAAUCUACUAGAUAGUAGUGAGAAUUUAGUGCUUGAAUUCAGGCUGCUUGAAUUCAGUAUAUCCUUCUCUAUGCUGAUUUUCAAGUAGAUAUUCUGUAGCUCAGCUAGAUAAUCUUUUAAAAGCAAAAAAAAAA